GCCUGGGUGGCUCAGUCGAUUAAGCAUCUGACUCUUGGAGUUGGUUCAGGUCAUGAUCUCACGGUUUUGUGGGUUCGAGUCCUAUUUCAGGCU
rnacentral:tRNA from 1 species